CUAGGCUUUGCACAGCUUGAGGUGUAUGCCGGGAAGAGCAUUCGAAUGCGAGGCGGUUGGUGCGGUUGUUGAAGUCGCGUUUGUGCAGUGCUGCUAUUCGUUUCAUCGAUUUAACCAGGUUUUACGCUCCGCGCUUUGUUAACGUGCCUGGUCUAAUCGUGUUGUGUACGUGAGUGGCGUGUAACUAGUGAUACAGCAAGCAAGGACAGUCAUUAACGUGCGCGAUCCGCCGCAAAUAAGCCACGAUGCAUUGCAACGGGCACGUUCAGUGGGCUGCGCGGCCGUUGCGACGAGCUGCAUUGCUGAUUCUUCGCUUGCCUGAGACUCGCAAUUGUCGAGCGGGUUGCAUCCGUUGUUACGUUGCCCGAAGACCGCAGUAAAUGUGAUUUGCAGCAUACAUCCCGCCCAAGGCAUGCUGGGAUGAUCUACUAUCAGGCAGCUUGGAAGCUUCCAGACGCCGAUAUGCCUUACGUUCGGUGCAGCCGAGGUUGUGAACUGUCAAGUGGAAGAUGCCCCUUGAGGAAAACAAUUAGGAUCGACUGUCCAGCGUGGAGAUUGCGGAAUCAGCAGCUGACAUAUUGACUGAUGAAACAUGAUGGUGCGUGCAGCAAGAGAGGGUUUGACUGCAGAUCCUGACCACCUGCUCCUGUAAAUUUGUACCAACCACAGGCGAAAACAAGGGGAAACGCUUUGAAUACUUGCGGUCUUCUAUCAGCUAGACAAGUCCCUGAAGCUAUAAAUCAAUAAACUGAUGUAUUCUGCUUGGGAGGUAU